GGCAGCAGGCCAUCUAACAGGAGGCAGUAGGCCAUCUAACAGGAGGCAGCAGGUCAUCUAACAGGAGGCAGCAGGUCAUCUAACAGGAGGCAGUAGGCCAUCUAACAGGAGGCAGCAGGUCAUCUAACAGGAGGCAGCAGGCCAUCUAACAGGAGGCAGCAGGCCAUCUAACAGGAGGCAGCAGGCCAUCUAACAGGAGGCAGUAGGCCAUCUAACAGGAGGCAGCAAGUCAUCUAACAGGAGGCAGCAGGUCAUCCAACAGGGGGCAGCAGGUCAUCUAACAGGGGCAGCAGGUCAUCUAACAGGGGGCAGCAGGUCAUCUAACAGGGGGCAGUAGGUCAUCUAACAGGGGGCAGCAGGUCAUCUAACAGCGGGCAGCAGGUCAUCUAACAGGGGGCAGCAGGUCAUCUCACAGGAGGCAGCAGGCCAUGUUACAGGGGGCAGCAG
ensembl:lncRNA